GAGCCCGUAGCUCAAUUGGUAGAGCACGACACUUUUAAUGUUGGGGUUCCGGGUUCGAGUCCCGGCGGGCUCACCA
rnacentral:tRNA from 1 species